rnacentral:lncRNA from 1 species
CGGAGUUUUGUACAAAAUAAAUAAAUAAUUACAUUAUAUGGAGACAACGGUCCAGCAACCCGAAGUUGACUGGGAGACGACGGCCUAGACCUCUCACGAACUCAUCGCAGCAUCCUCCAAGCGCCUCAUCAUGCGGUACCUGUUCUUGACCUGUGGGGGGUGUGUGAGACAGCAAGAGUGAGCUCACAUACGUUCAUCGCUCAACAAGUUGUGGGGAAUAAUGUGCCUGAACUCGCCAAAGAUGGGAGCUCAUGUGAAGUGUGAGGCUUACCAAAGAGGAUGGCUGAAGCUGAGCAUUGCUUUUAAAGUUGGUCAAAAUUUUAUUAGCCAUUACUAAGUAUAAGUAAAUACCAACUCAAUUAAAUAGUAGAACAGAAGUAACAACAUCACCUGCGAUGCAAUGCAUAUGACAAAUUGAAUUUAAGUUCCAUAGAUUAAUCAUGUGAGUGUCCGAGCUGCUCAUGACCGUGAUCACGGCUAGUAUACCAGUUUUACACUCUGCAGAGGUUGCGCAUCUUUACCCACAAGUCAUGUUACCCAUCUGCCAAGGGAUCACGACUUCCCAUACACCUCUACCGAGGAGGCGAGGCAGGGUAACACUACGAGGCCUUUACAAAGUUCCACUAGCUUCAGAAAACCCGCUACAGUUUAUAGGAAGCUGCAAUGCAGGAAUCCCUUGCAGGACCGCCAUCGCAGCAAAAUCCUCCCGAGGGCCUCCCUACACUGACCACUCCCCUACUGCCCUUGCCCCUUUCGGGUAAGGUAGUCUUCCAUUAGCUUUCCUAAUUAAUCGGCCAAGGGCGUCCCAUUAAACCCUUGUGGUAGCACUGUUUUCCCGGGUGGUUCUCCAUGUUCCAAUUAACAUAAUGAUCUUAUCAUGAACAGUAAAUAGCAACUGAUAACAAAAGUAUGAAUAAUAUGUAUCUCAAUGCCCAAAUCCACAUAUAGCACUAGCAAGUACUACCCAGAAAGUUUAGUGGUAAACAAGGCAUAAUGAUAGAUAAACUAGGGUAACCUAUUAGGUCCCAUCAAAUUAACCUAUGCAGAUCAUUAUGAUUAAUUAGAACAUGAGUGGGUAAAAGAAGUGAUCAAGGGCACAACUUGCCUGGGACUUGAGAUUUCAGGUACCAACUUGCUCUUCAGAUGACACGUGACCUCACUGCUAGUCGUAGCAAUACAAACAAACAGUGUAUAGACAAAAUUAACAUUACACCAAACAUAAGAACAAACUGCAUAAUAAUAAUCUACGUGCUACUACGAGAUCGCGAGAACAAGAAUUACUAAAUUCGGAGUUACAGUUAUCAAGUUAUGAAUUUCUGAAGGUUUUAUAUGUUUUGUACAAGAUUAAAUAUGAUACAAAUUUUAUUGUGAUAUUCAUGUCAAAACAGAGGUAUUAUGUGAUAAACAAUAAUAUUAUUGAAUUAUAGAAACUGAAAUGGGUAAAUUUGGGCUUAGUAUGAAUUUUCUAGGAUUAAACAAGUUCUAGCAUUUUUUUCUCACAUUAAAAAUCAUCUCUAAUUAUUUUUACUGGAUUUUAUAAGUCUCUGGACUGAGCACAUGAAAACAGGGAAGUACAAGGGUCUAACCAUAAAACUAUCUCAGACUCAGAACGUCCCUGCUAUGGACGGCGGGUUGAUUACUGUGAAGUACAGGGGCUCUUAUGCAAAGUGUCGCGGCCGAAGGGGUAUCUAUGAAUCUGAAUCAUCCGAUCAAAAUCCUAGGGCUCAAAUUAGAUCGCCGAUAUCCUAAACCAGCGCGCGGAAAUAGCCAUCGGAUUUCUGAUCUACGGUUUGGAUCACAUGCGGGUUCCGAUCAACACCGGUCGAACGAUCCUAAAUCUAUGGACGAGGCGCAACACUCAUGUGAUCUAAACACCACCGUUAACUCCUGGAUCUAGGACCACGGCUGGUUCUUCCCCAGACGACCAGAGCGGCGAUGCUGUCCCAUCCCGCGGUGUAGAUGACGGCGCCAACGCGCGGUGCAGGAGCCCGACAUGCGCGCACAGCGAAGGCUCAGCAGGGAUCGAGAAGAAGAACUCACCGCCAAUGGAGGAGGUCGGCCGAUGAUGGAGCGCGGAUCCGUAGCGAGGCGCAGACCCAGAGCUCGUGCCUUCUCCCCGCGACGGCUUUCCCACGAUCACCCCUCAUAGCAGCGAUGGCGAGCAAAUACUGGAAUGACCCAGGAGAAAACGACGGUCGUAUUUAUGCUGCCUAGGAGCGAGAACGACCCGGCCAGUCGAGGCGCAAAGAUCGGCUAUCCGUUACAGAGAUGCGAUGGGAUCCCAACAAAUUGAGGCGUGUGUUUCGGUCUCCAACGAAUGAA